GACGAACGCUGGCGGCGUGCCUAAUACAUGCAAGUAGAACGCACAGUUUAUACCGUAGCUUGCUACACCAUAGACUGUGAGUUGCGAACGGGUGAGUAACGCGUAGGUAACCUGCCUGGUAGCGGGGGAUAACUAUUGGAAACGAUAGCUAAUACCGCAUAAUAUUGAUUAUUGCAUGAUAAUUGAUUGAAAGAUGCUAUUGCAUCACUACCAGAUGGACCUGCGUUGUAUUAGCUAGUAGGUGAGGUAACGGCUCACCUAGGCGACGAUACAUAGCCGACCUGAGAGGGUGAUCGGCCACACUGGGACUGAGACACGGCCCAGACUCCUACGGGAGGCAGCAGCAGGGAAUCUUCGGCAAUGGACGAAAGUCUGACCGAGCAACGCCGCGUGAGUGAAGAAGGUUUUCGGAUCGUAAAGCUCUGUUGUAAGAGAAGAACGGGUGUGAGAGUGGAAAGUUCACACUGUGACGGUAUCUUACCAGAAAGGGACGGCUAACUACGUG
rnacentral:rRNA from 1 species